UGAUAUGAAAUCAUUAAUAUUUUGAUAUAAAUAUUUAGCAAGACGGUUAAACUAGUUAAUUUGUUGAUUAAGCUCAAGAAGUUAAAGGAGGAGAAUCAAGCAAAGGCAAAGGAAAGGACAUCGAGUAGCCGAGUUAGAAUCGUUUUACCCAACACAAGGUUCCUUUGAUUCAUUUUUGUGUGCUCGGGACCAUCGUCGAAGUCAUCACACCAGCUUGCAACUUUUGGUAUCUUCUUCCUAGUUGGUCUAAGAGAACAUUUCGGCAUGUAUAGGCUAUUAUGUUUUGUUUGAACUUUGGUAUGUAAAACUUUGGAUAGCCAUGCGAAAAUGGCUUAUAUACGUUUUGAGCAUAAUGUUAUAGUCAUCUUGAAUGUAUAUGUUCAUUAAAA